UAUUGGGCGUAAAGAGCUCGUAGGCGGUUUGUCGCGUNUGCUGUGAAAUCCGGAGGCUCAACCUCCGGCCUGCAGUGGGUACGGGCAGACUAGAGUGCGGUAGGGGAGAUUGGAAUUCCUGGUGUAGCGGUGGAAUGCGCAGAUAUCAGGAGGAACACCGAUGGCGAAGGCAGAUCUCUGGGCCGUAACUGACGCUGAGGAGCGAAAGGGUGGGGAGCAAACAGGCUUAGAUACCCUGGUAGUCCACCCCGUAAACGUUGGGAACUAGUUGUGGGGUCCAUUCCACGGAUUCCGUGACGCAGCUAACGCAUUAAGUUCCCCGCCUGGGGAGUACGGCCGCAAGGCUAAAACUCAAAGGAAUUGACGGGGACCCGCACAAGCGGCGGAGCAUGCGGAUUAAUUCGAUGCAACGCGAAGAACCUUACCAAGGCUUGACAUAUACGAGAACGGGCCAGAAAUGGUCAACUCUUUGGACACUCGUAAACAGGUGGUGCAUGGUUGUCGUCAGCUCGUGUCGUGAGAUGUUGGGUUAAGUCCCGCAACGAGCGCAACCCUCGUUCUAUGUUGCCAGCACGUAAUGGUGGGAACUCAUGGGAUACUGCCGGGGUCAACUCGGAGGAAGGUGGGGAUGACGUCAAAUCAUCAUGCCCCUUAUGUCUUGGGCUUCACGCAUGCUACAAUGGCCGGUACAAAGGGCUGCAAUACCGUGAGGUGGAGCGAAUCCCAAAAAGCCGGUCCCAGUUCGGAUUG
rnacentral:rRNA from 1 species